CGGAAGAGUGGCCGAGUCUGGCUGAAGGCACUGGUCUUGAAAACCAGCAAACCGAAAGGUUUCGUGGGUUCGAAUCCCACCUCUUCCGCCA
rnacentral:tRNA from 2 species